rnacentral:rRNA from 1 species
UACGUAGGCAGCGAGCGUUGUUCGGAAUUACUGGGCGUAAAGAGUGUGUAGGCGGUGUUCCCAGUCUGUUGUGAAAUCUCCCGCUUAACUGGGAGGGUGCGCCGGAAACUGGAGUGCUCGAGCGUGGGAGAGGAAAGCGGAAUUCCUGGUGUAGCGGUGAAAUGCGUAGAUAUCAGGAGGAACACCUGCGGUGUAGACGGCUUUCUGGACCAUUGCUGACGCUGAGACACGAAAGCGUGGGUAGCAAACAGG